rnacentral:rRNA from 1 species
UACGAAAGGGGCUAGCGUUGUUCGGAAUCACUGGGCGUAAAGCGCACGUAGGCGGAUUUUUAAGUCAGGGGUGAAAUCCCGAGGCUCAACCUCGGAACUGCCUUUGAUACUGGGGAUCUGGAGUCCGGGAGAGGUGAGCGGAACUGCGAGUGUAGAGGUGAAAUUCGUAGAUAUUCGCAAGAACACCAGUGGCGAAGGCGGCUCACUGGCCCGGAACUGACGCUGAGGUGCGAAAGCGUGGGGAGCAAACAGG